rnacentral:tmRNA from 1 species
GGGGGUGUACUGGAUUCGACGGGUUGAGUACAUUCGCAGGUUGCAUGCCGAGUUUGUCCGAUGAAUCUCGUAAAAAAUCAUCAUGGAAUAAACGUAAUUGACAACAAUUACUCAUACCGACUCGCAGCUUAAACUGACGGGUCCGUUCCAAUGGGCGCUUGCCUGUUAGUCCCAUCCGGAGCGUCGACUAAAACAGGAUUUUCCGAAGUGCGUGUCUGCCGCGCAGCUGGAGAACAUAAUGCAGAAUAGGAUGGUGUUGCUUUGCAGCUGAGCCUGGCAUCAUCCGAAACCUUAAUCAGCAGCUAAGCAUGUAGACGCUUGAUGGGUUGCCAAUUCGGACCGGGGUUCAACUCCCCGCACCUCCACAU